GAAAGCAGGCACUCUACAGAAAUCCCAUAAAAGAAGCUGCCAUAUUUCUGGACACAAAGCAUCCCGAUCAUUACAGAGUUUACAAUCUCUGCAGUCAAAAAGGCUACGAUCCACUGUUCUUCCAUUACAGAGUGCAACGAGUGAUGAUUGACGACCAUAACGUACCGUCAUUAGACCAACCACUCGUUAGGACUCCCCCUAUCACUAGUAAUGCCCCAACACACCAGGAGGAUGAAGACUAGCACACUCUUUCUCCGAUACAUGUGAAGUCAGCCACCGCUUCUUUUCGAGCUGCUGCUGAUGCAGCAUUGCCAAGCAGCCAGCACAUUUGGAGGAAAGCGCAGCGGCAGGUGAACACGAGGAACCUGAGGAAAGUGGUGGGAAAUCUCGAGCCAGUGACAUGUUGAACUACACUGCCAGUUUGAGGGAAUGUCAUUGCCAUCCACUGCAAAGGAGGCAAAGGGCGCACGGGUACGAUGGUGUGUACAUGGUUGAUUGACAGCGUUUAGUUUGAGAGUGCGCAGGUGUGGGAAAGGGCAAUGGCAGUGAUCUGAAGGUGCGGAUCAUAGUGAAAAGAGAGCAGGUGUUCCAGUGUGUCUGUGCCACGCAGACGAACUGUAGGCUGUUCCCAGAUACUGAAAACAAUGCCGUGGUGAUCAGCUUUCAGGAAGGGCCAGUGGUUUGUGGUGAUGUUAAGGUCAUGUUUGAAUCCAGGGCUGGUCUUCCAAAGGGGUAUGAGGACUAUCCUUUCUAUUUCUGGUUCAACACUUCAUUUGUAGAGAACAACAGGCUCUAUCUGGCAAGGGAGGAACUGGACGACCCACGUAAGUCCAAAACCUGGGACAUCUACAAGGAGGACUUUGGUGUGACCGUGUCUUUCAGUGACCCUGCACUUAUGUAGCAGACGACACUUGCUUGUGUAUCUCAACUAAAACCCUUAAGCCCUGCACAAGGUCUAAAUAUUUGCUCUAAUGUAGGUUUUCACACACUUAUAAAAGGUGAGUGAUGUUUAGGGAUUGGAUUCGGGCAUAUUGUGCCCCUAAAGCUAUAGCUAUAGCUAUAUAACCUCAACUUUAUGUCCAUCCCCCAUCUUCACUGUAAGAGCUUUUUACUGAGCCGUGCAUACAUCACAAUAUUAUGCAUUUGUUUGUCAAAUGUUUUUUUGUCUUUAAAUUAAGACAAAUGUUUGUGUCAGUUUAGCAUAUUAUGCCUCCAAAAUGUAAAUCUUACUCUUUAAGCUUGAGUGUACAUCAAAUAAAGCAAUCGAGGCUGCCACUGUGAAAUGGUCAAUGGUUAUGUGUGCAGAAACAUGUUUUUGUAGUACACAUGUAUUGAAAUAAAUACUAAUGUCUCUGUAA